rnacentral:lncRNA from 1 species
GUCCACAAGCUAAGAACAAUUCUUCGAAAACAAUACAUAAACAUAUUAAAAAACAUGAGCAUGACCAAUGGCAAUGAUGAAUAAUGAUAAUCAUGCCCAAUUAAGCCAAGCAACAGUUAAAUAUAUAUAAAAUAUUCCAGAAGCACUUAUCUCCAAUUUCUCCACUUCGGACAGCAAAAUUAACAUGUUGCAGUACGUUUGAGAAACGCACUUAUUAAAUACACCAAAUCCACGUAACCCUGUUAACACCAGCCUGUACAACAAAAUUACGCUGUGAAAAAUAGGUGUAGAAAAAACCAUGAAUAAAAAAAUAAUAGUUGCAUAAUUCUCCAAACCAAGUCGCUGAUCAGAAUUGCAGGGAACAAGAAUUACUCUCAAAUUAUGCAAUUGCCCAUAUACCUAAUGCUUUAAGGUUUUGAUGGAGAUGCGGCUCAUUGUUGCUUUCGACGCUAGCCCGUUGUUACUCUUGUUGCUUUUGAUGGAGAUGUAUCAGAGUAUUUCAAGAGGAUGAAGAACACUAUAACCCUUUUGUAUAAUAUAUCAAUUUUACAAUCAAUCACUCUCUCUGUUUACCUAUAUACCAAAUCCUUUUGUAUAUAGUGGGAUAUAAUAUCAUAUUGGACAAUAAUGUACUGGUUGGUUGGAGUAAACCAGCGGAUCAUUGAGG